GCUUACGAAAAAUUUGAAAAUUUUGUGUCCCAUAGAUCCAGUGAAGUAUGACUUUGCACUCUUUGGUCUAG
rnacentral:tRNA from 1 species